rnacentral:rRNA from 1 species
AGUGAACGCUGGCGGUAGGCCUAACACAUGCAAGUCGAACGGCAGCACAGUAAGAGCUUGCUCUUACGGGUGGCGAGUGGCGGACGGGUGAGGAAUACAUCGGAAUCUACUUUUUCGUGGGGGAUAACGUAGGGAAACUUACGCUAAUACCGCAUACGACCUACGGGUGAAAGCAGGGGAUCUUCGGACCUUGCGCGAUUGAAUGAGCCGAUGUCGGAUUAGCUAGUUGGCGGGGUAAAGGCCCACCAAGGCGACGAUCCGUAGCUGGUCUGAGAGGAUGAUCAGCCAGACUGGAACUGAGACACGGUCCAGACUCCGACGGGAGGCAGCAGUGGGGAAUAUUGGACGAUGGGCGCAAGCCUGAUCCAGCCAUACCGCGUGGGUGAAGAAGGCCUUCUGGUUGUAAAGCCCUUUUGUUGGGAAAGAAAAGCAGCAGGUUAAUACCCCGCUGUUCUGACGGUACCCAAAGAAUAAGCACCGGCUAACUUCGUG